rnacentral:rRNA from 1 species
GGUCCUGGAACUUGUACGGCGAGUGAAGCGGUAAAAGCUCAAAUUUGAAAUCUGGUACUUUCAGUGCCCGAGUUGUAAUUUGUAGAAUUUGUCUUUGAUUAGGUCCUUGUCUAUGUUCCUUGGAACAGGACGUCAUAGAGGGUGAGAAUCCCGUUUGGCGAGGAUACCUUUUCUCUGUAAGACUUUUUCGAAGAGUCGAGUUGUUUGGGAAUGCAGCUCAAAGUGGGUGGUAAAUUCCAUCUAAAGCUAAAUAUUGGCGAGAGACCGAUAGCGAACAAGUACAGUGAUGGAAAGAUGAAAAGAACUUUGAAAAGAGAGUGAAAAAGUACGUGAAAUUGUUGAAAGGGAAGGGCAUUUGAUCAGACAUGGUGUUUUUUGCAUGCACUCGCCUCUCGUGGGCUUGGGCCUCUCAAAAAUUUCACUGGGCCAACAUCAAUUCUGGCAGCAGGAUAAAUCAUUAAGAAUGUAGCUACUUCGGUAGUGUUAUAGCUUUUUGGAAUACUGUUAGCCGGGAUUGAGGACUGCGCUUCGGCAAGGAUGUUGGCAUAAUGGUUAAAUGCCGCCCGUCUGAAACCCGGGGGACA